AAAAAUUUAGUUAAAAUAAUAACAUUAACUUGUCAAGUUAAAAUAACUCACAAUAAGAGUAAUUUUUA
rnacentral:tRNA from 1 species